rnacentral:rRNA from 1 species
UACAGAGGUCUCAAGCGUUGUUCGGAUUCAUUGGGCGUAAAGGGUGCGUAGGCGGCGCGGUAAGUCGGGUGUGAAAUCUCGGAGCUUAACUCCGAAACUGCAUUCGAUACUGCCGUGCUUGAGGACUGGAGAGGAGACUGGAAUUUACGGUGUAGCGGUGAAAUGCGUAGAUAUCGUAAGGGAAGACCAGUGGCGGAAGG